rnacentral:rRNA from 1 species
GAGACCCACGCCAACAGUUGCCAGCAUGUCCUCCGGGAUGGUGGGGACACUGUUGGGACCGCCUCUGCUAAAGAGGAGGAAGGAAUGGGCAACGGUAGGUCAGCAUGCCCCGAAUUAUCCGGGCUACACGCGGGCUACAAUGGUCAGGACAAUGGGUAUCGACACCGAGAGGCGAAGGCAAUCUCUUAAACCUGUCCUUAGUUCGGAUUGUGGGCUGCAACUCGCCCACAUGAAGCUGGAAUCCGUAGUAAUCGCGUCUCAAAAUGGCGCGGUGAAUAU